AACGCACAUUGCGCCCCUUGGUAUUCCGAGGGGCAUGCCUGUUCGAGCGUCAUUAACACCCCUCAAGCGUACCGCUUGGUAUUGGAGUAGGCCGGACUGGCCGUUCCCAAUUCUAGUGGCGGCCCUGCACGGUCCCAAGCGUAGUAAAUCUCUCGCUCUGGGUCCCUGCAGCGGUUGCCAGUAACCCCGUGCCCUUGGCACCAAAGUUUGACCUCGGAUCAGGUAGGAAUACCCGCUGAACUUAA
rnacentral:misc_RNA from 1 species